GAUGAACGCUGGCGGCGUGCUUAACACAUGCAAGUCGAACGAAGAGCGAUGGACGCUUUCCUCUAUCACUCUUAGUUGCGUAAGGGUGAGUCAGGCGUAAUCAACCUGCCCUGCAGAGCUGGACAGCAGUUGGGAACGACUGCUAAUACCGCCUGCGAACUAACCUCGGCAUCGAGGUUUGAUGAAAGGUGGCCUCUAUUUAUCAGCUAUCACUGAAGGAAGGGACUGCGUCUAUUAGCUAGUUGGAGGGGUAACGGCCCACCAAGGCGAUGAUCAGUAGCCGGCCUGAGAGGACGAACGGACACAUUGGGACUGAGACACGGCCCAGAAUCCUACGGGAGGCAGCAGUGGGGAAUCUUCCGCAAUGGACGAAAGUCUGACGGAGCAACGACGCGUGAGUGAUGACGGCCUUCGGGUUGUAAAGCUCUGUUAAUCGGGACGAAAGGCCUUCUUGCGAAUAAUUAGAAGGAUUGACGGUACCGGAAGAGAAAGCCACGGCUAAAUACGUG
rnacentral:rRNA from 1 species